GGCAUGCCCUGAGCAUGCCCCGUCUUGUCUGAUCUUGGAAGCUAAGCAGGGUCAGGUCAGUUAGUACUUAGAUGAGAACGCAUCUGGAGGGGCAAAGGAAAGAUGUCC
rnacentral:rRNA from 1 species